rnacentral:lncRNA from 1 species
ACAAAGAUGGAGUCGGAUUAUUUGGUUUGGCAACUUUUUAUUUUGGAUACUUGCUGGCUUGUAUAUUUGCUGGUAGUACUGUCAGACUAUAUGAUGCAAAGGUCAGCAUCAGUUGUUCCGCUUUGUGUCAAAUACCGUUUCUUAUAUCAAAUGCUUUACCAAAAUUGUAUGUCUUGAUACCGUUAUCCUUUUUAGGAGGAUUCACGCAAUCAAUUCUGUGGACUGC